UGGGGAAUUUUGACAAUGGGCGAAAGCCUGAUCCAGCAAUGCCGCGUGUGUGAAGAAGGCCUUCGGGUUGUAAAGCACUUUUGUCCGGAAAGAAAUCCUUGGCUCUAAUACAGUCGGGGGAUGACGGUACCGGAAGAAUAAGCACCGGCUAACUACGUGCCAGCAGCCGCGGUAAUACGUAGGGUGCAAGCGUUAAUCGGAAUUACUGGGCGUAAAGCGUGCGCAGGCGGUUUGCUAAGACCGAUGUGAAAUCCCGGGCUCAGCCUGGGAACUGCAUUGGAUGACUGGGCAGGCUAGAGUAUGGCAGAGGGGGUAGAAUUCCACGUGUAGCAGUGAAAUGCGUAGAGAUGUGGAGGAAUACCGAUGGCG
rnacentral:rRNA from 1 species